CAGGAGUUGAAGAUUAAAAACAUUGCUUUAGGCCCAAGUUACUUGUAUAUAUACGAAGCUAGGGCUUCGGGAGUUUAAGCAGUAGCGUCAAAAAGUGUUAUGGGAGGAGGAGAGUCAGUAACGAAAAGAAGACGGCGUCCCGGUCAACUUCACCGUAAACGCAGGCGCUUUCCUAAGAUGCCGAUUCCGAAGCAGCCCUGUUUUAAUACUCAACCUUUGACAGUGGAAAAGUUUCUGGAAAGUCUUGCUAUUACCACCACGACUCCGUCGCCAUCAUCAAGCAUAGCUAAGCAAGAAGAAGAAUAAGAAGCUCGCUAUGAUCAACCACAAAGCUUAAUCUCACUCAUUAAGUCCUUUUCUAAUGUUUUGUAAUCGCAUUAUCAUGACUUGAAAUAAAGGUCUAAGUUGUUGUUACCAGCGACAUUCUCUUCUUUUGUGUGGAGAAUCAUUAGCAAUUUUUAUUUCUUAAUUUUGCGAUAAAUA